CAGUCGCCGCGGUAAGACGGAGGGUGCUAGCGUUGUUCGGAAUCACUGGGCGUAAAGGGCGCGUAGGCGGCCUGUUAAGUCGGAUGUGAAAGCCCGGGGCUCAACCCCGGAACUGCAUCCGAGACUGGCAGGCUUGAGACCGGGAGAGGAGGGUGGAAUAUCCAGUGUAGAGGUGAAAUUCGUAGAUAUUGGAUGGAACACCGAUGGCGAAGGCAGCCAUCUGGCCUAAUACUGACGCUGAGGUACGAAAGCAUGGGGAGCAAACAGGAUUAGAUACCCGGGUAGUCCCUGUCUCUUAUAC
rnacentral:rRNA from 1 species